AUAUCACAUACACGGCCGUAUGAUAUCAACGACAUGCUCGGAAAUGUGGCCCAGGCCGAAAUCUUCUACGCAUAUUCUAGGCCAAGUCUUU
rnacentral:tRNA from 15 species